rnacentral:rRNA from 1 species
UACGGAGGGUGCAAGCGUUAAUCGGAUUACUGGGCGUAAAGCGUGCGUAGGCGGUUCGUUAAGUCUGCUGUGAAAGCCCCGGGCUCAACCUGGGAACCGGCAGUGGAUACUGGCGAGCUAGAGUGUGAUAGAGGAUGGUGGAAUUCCGGUGUAGCGGUGAAAUGCGUAGAGAUCGGGAAGAACAUCAGUGGCGAAGGCGCCUGCUGGGCUGUUGCUGACGCUGAGGCGGCGACAGCGUGGGGACGCAAGAGGA